CUUUACCCUGGGCAAGUAACACACGCUAAUUCCAAGCGAUUUAAAUAUACAUGUACCGAAACCAUUUACCAGACUAAGUAGUUACCAGACUAUUUCCGUAUAAUGUGGGCUUGUUAGUUCCUUUUAAACAAGUGAAAAACGUUAUCUUUUUACAUUGAAUUCAAUUUACCAUUUGCCGAUUACCAAGCUAUAGUUCGUAAACUUUCGAGAUAUAUAUAUUUCCGCUAUC
rnacentral:lncRNA from 1 species